rnacentral:rRNA from 1 species
AGACCCGAAACCCGGUGAUCUAGCCAUGGGCAGGUUGAAGGUUGGGUAACACUAACUGGAGGACCGAACCGACUAAUGUUGAAAAAUUAGCGGAUGACCUGUGGCUGGGGGUGAAAGGCCAAUCAAACCGGGAGAUAGCUGGUUCUCCCCGAAAGCUAUUUAGGUAGCGCCUCGUGAAUUCAUCUCCGGGGGUAGAGCACUGUUUCGGCUAGGGGGCCAUCCCGGCUUACCAACCCGAUGCAAACUGCGAAUACCGGAGAAUGUUAUCACGGGAGACACACGGCGGGUGCUAACGUCCGUCGUGAAGAGGGAAACAACCCAGACCGCCAGCUAAGGUCCCAAAGUCAUGGUUAAGUGGGAAACGAUGUGGGAAGGCCCAGACAGCCAGGAUGUUGGCUUAGAAGCAGCCAUCAUUUAAAGAAAGCGUAAUAGCUCACUGGUCGAGUCGGCCUGCGCGGAAGAUGUAACGGGGCUAAACCAUGCACCGAAGCUGCGGCAGCGAACGUAUCACUUAAAGCGAUUCAGCGGGUUACGAUUGACGGAGCGAAGCGACGUCAAAGCGUAUACAAAGUCGAGUCGGUUUAAGGAUACGUUCGUUGGGUAGGGGAGCGUUCUGUAAGCCUGCGAAGGUGGCCUGUGAGGGUUGCUGGAGGUAUCAGAAGUGCGAAUGCUGACAUAAGUAACGAUAAAGCGGGUGAAAAGCCCGCUCGCCGGAAGACCAAGGGU